rnacentral:rRNA from 1 species
AUUGAACGCUGGCGGCAUGCUUUACACAUGCAAGUCGAACGGCAGCGGGGAGGAGCUUGCUUCUCUGCCGGCGAGUGGCGAACGGGUGAGUAAUACAUCGGAACGUGUCAAGAAGAGGGGGAUAACCACCCGAAAGGGUGGCUAAUACCGCAUAAAUUCUGAGGAAGAAAGCUGGGGACCUAGGAAUAGGCCUAGCGCUUUUUGAGCGGCCGAUGUCGGAUUAGCUAGUUGGUGAGGUAAAGGCUCACCAAGGCGAAGAUCUGUAGCGGGUCUGAGAGGAUGAUCCGCCACACUGGGACUGAGACACGGCCCAGACUCCUACGGGAGGCAGCAGUGGGGAAUUUUGGACAAUGGGGGCAACCCUGAUCCAGCCAUGCCGCGUGUAUGCAGAAGGCCUUAGGGUUGUAAAGUACUUUUGUUAGGGAAGAAAAGUCAGCUGUGAAUAAUGGCUGAUACUGACGGUACCUAAAGAAUAAGCACCGGCUAACUACGUG